rnacentral:sRNA from 1 species
AGAUAAAAAAAGGCCCAAAACUAUCCAAUUGUUUUGGGCCUAGGGAAAGGGCUCGAUUAAGAGCCUUGCGCUACUGUUGUGGCAUCUUAAGGUAGCUUAGGAUGCCAAAUACUGAAUCGAACAUAGAUUAAUUAUAGGCACUCAAAUU